rnacentral:rRNA from 1 species
GACGAACGCUGGCAGCGUGCUUAACACAUGCAAGUCGAACGGUGAAGCGCCUUCCUUUUUGGUGGGUGUGGAUGAGUGGCGAACGGGUGAGUAACACGUGAGUAACCUGCCCCCUUCUUCUGGAUAACCGCAUGAAAGUGUGGCUAAUACGGGAUAUUCUGGGUCUGUCGCAUGAUGGGUCUGGGAAAGAUAUUGUUUCGGUGGGGGAUGGGCUCGCGGCCUAUCAGCUUGUUGGUGGGGUGAUGGCCUACCAAGGCGGUGACGGGUAGCCGGCCUGAGAGGGUGGACGGUCACACUGGGACUGAGACACGGCCCAGACUCCUACGGGAGGCAGCAGUGGGGAAUAUUGCACAAUGGGCGCAAGCCUGAUGCAGCGACGCCGCGUGAGGGAUGGAGGCCUUCGGGUUGUGAACCUCUUUCGCCAGUGAAGCAGGCCUGCCUCGUUUGUGGGUGGGUUGACGGUAGCUGGAGAAGAAGCGCCGGCUAACUACGUG